rnacentral:rRNA from 1 species
AACGAACGCUGGCGGCAUGCCUAACACAUGCAAGUCGAACGAGACCUUCGGGUCUAGUGGCGCACGGGUGCGUAACGCGUGGGAAUCUGCCCUUGGGUUCGGAAUAACAGUUGGAAACGACUGCUAAUACCGGAUGAUGACGUAAGGGCAAAGAUUUAUCGCCCAAGGAUGAGCCCGCGUAGGAUUAGGUAGUUGGGGAGGUAAAGGCUGACCAAGGCGACGAUCCUUAGCUGGUCUGAGAGGAUGAUCAGCCACACUGGGACUGAGACACGGCCCAGACUCCUACGGAAGGCAGCAGUGGGGAAUAUUGGACACUGGGCGAAAGCCUGAUCCAGCAAUGCCGCGUGAGUGAUGAAGGCCUUAGGGUUGUAAAGCUCUUUUACCCGGGAUGAUAAUGACAGUACCGGGAGAAUAAGCUCCGGCUAACUCCGUG